GACGAACGCUGGCGGUGUGCUUCACACAUGCAAGUCGAACGAGGUAGCAAUACCUAGUGGCGGACGGGUGAGUAACGCGUGGGAAUCUGCCUUUAGAUGGGGGGAUAACGGGUCGAAAGACUCGCCAAUACCGCAUAUGACGAAAGUUGAAAGGAGUAAUCCGUCUAAAGAUGAGCCCGCGUCCGAUUAGCUAGUUGGUAGAGUAAAAGCCUACCAAGGCGACGAUCGGUAGCUGGUCUGAGAGGAUGAUCAGCCACAAUGGGACUAGAGACACGGCCCAUACUCCUACGGGAGGCAGCAGUGGGAACUUUACGCAAUGGCGAAAGCCUGACGUAGCGACACCGCGUGAGCGAAGAAGCCC
rnacentral:rRNA from 1 species